AUGCUCCUCCUAAAGAUUAAGCCAUGCAUGCGUCGGAAUUAGAGUAUGGCGACUCUCUCUGAAUCUGCGAACGGCUCCGCAAACCAGUUGUAAUCCGCGGCGAGUCCGCCCGCGGAAGCCGGGAGGCCGAGAGGCCGCCCGGUGGAAGCGGGCGACAAGGCAAACCCUGGCAAUCCUGUGGCUAAUACUUGACCGUAAGCCCCGCGGGCCUGAGCUCCCCCCCUCCUAACAAAACCCUAAACCCUAACCCCAAACCCUCGUCCGUGUUCGGUCGGGCGGCGGGGGGCGGGCGGCGGGCGGCGGGGCGKGAUCGAUCAGACGCGGGGGGCGCGCGGGCACCCAUUGACCACAGCGACGGGACGCGUAUAAUAAACAAAUCCCACGCCGGGAGUGCACGCACGCUCGAACCGCGACACAAAAGGGACGUGUGCCGACGGCCCCGUUCUCCCAUUCCCCCACAGUUCCCCAGGGCUUCCAACCCUCUUCCCUGCGGGGUCGAGCGUUAGGGAGCGGCGGGAGCUCGGGACCUGGGGUUCGGGGUCGGGAGCUGAGCCCCCGCGGGCCUCGCUUCGGGCUUCUGACCUAUCAACUGCACAGCAGUGAAAGGGACGUGCUGUGGUUACAACGGGUACAGAGGAUUAGGGUUCGAUCCUGGAGAGUGGGCCUGAGAGAUCGCUCACACUUCUAAGGAAGGCAGCAGGCGCGUAACGUUCCCACUGGGCGAUGCCCGAGGGCGUUAUGGGAAAUAUGAAUGCCCGCCUAUGGCGGGCAAUUCAAAUGGGUGCGUUCCAAACCGCCCU
rnacentral:rRNA from 1 species